AACGAAUGGCCUACAUUCACUU
rnacentral:siRNA from 1 species